rnacentral:rRNA from 1 species
UUGAACGCUGGCGGAAUGCUUUACACAUGCAAGUCGAGCGGCAGCGCGGGGCAACCUGGCGGCGAGCGGCGAACGGGUGAGUAACACAUCGGAACGUACCCAGUUGUGGGGGAUAGCCCGGCGAAAGCCGGAUUAAUACCGCAUACGACCUGAGGGUGAAAGCGGGGGAUCGCAAGACCUCGCGCAAUUGGAGCGGCCGAUGGCGGAUUAGCUAGUUGGUAGGGUAAAGGCCUACCAAGGCGACGAUCCGUAGCGGGUCUGAGAGGACGACCCGCCACACUGGAACUGAGACACGGUCCAGACUCCUACGGGAGGCAGCAGUGGGGAAUUUUGGACAAUGGGGGAAACCCUGAUCCAGCCAUUCCGCGUGAGUGAAGAAGGCCUUCGGGUUGUAAAGCUCUUUCGGCAGGAACGAAACGGUUUGCCCUAAUACGGUGAGCUAAUGACGGUACCUGAAGAAGAAGCACCGGCUAACUACGU